rnacentral:rRNA from 1 species
GUCUACGGCCAUACCACCCUGAACAUGCUCGAUCUCGUCUGAUCUCGGAAGCUAAGCAGGGUCAGGCCUGGUUACUACUUGGAUGAGAGCAAAGGUAAGGAAAGUAUAGUUCUGGAAACU